UUUUUAAUCAUAAAAUAAAAUCAAACAGACCUAUAAAAAUCCACUUGCACGUGUUGGUUUAAUCUAUUCGUAUCUCUAUUUUUGUUUACAUCGCUUAUAUGGUCAUCUGAGGUCAAAUCGAUAGUUAAUUAGAUGGCGUCUGGACUAAAAUACACACGAAACGAACCUAUAUAUUAUCUACCCCAUGCUCUGUAAACUGUUUAUUUUAGACUUUUGAUAGUUUGGAUAAAUGUUUUACCUUGUUAUAAACCAAAUAUGAGAAUUUGAGUCAAAUCGGUUACAAUGAAUUUGACAGCUAGUGCCCCUUUAACGUAUUUUCCCCUUGGAAACAGAGUUAUUAUUUAUUGAAUUCUGCGGUAUGGGGGAAUUCAAUGUUCUCAAUUGUUUCCAAACCUUUAUGAAAAGACAUGCAUUGAAGCAUAUAUAAGCUCUAAACUGCAAUCGUUAAGUAUUAUUACAACAGUUGCCAUGGUGACAAAUAUCACCCAUAACAGUCAAUCAAAUGAUAUAUAAUAUAGUUUAUGUAAAAAAUUACAUAUAAUUAUGUUUAUAAUGUUCAUUUUUCUAAUGGGAAUAUAACUGCAUGCUUUGCUUUGUUUCACUCUCAGUACUGUCAUGACUGUCUUUGCUCAUUAAAAAGACUUAACAAAUUUAAAUAUAUACACUGUUGCAUUUUGGGGGAGGAGUGGAGGUUGGGUAGUUUUUGUUUGAAUCUUUCAUAGAUCAGGAUCAUGCACAGCUAAGGUGUGCAUUAACUACCUCAGAUAUACUGCAAAGUUCAAAUGUACUCUUAACUGAUCCUAGACUUUGAAAGGGGUGUAAUUCCAUAAAAUAAAAAUAAACAGCUGCGCCAUGAGCGCAUGUUACGCCCGUCGCUUUUUCAAAGAAUAAAAAAAGUUUAAUAACUUCUCAAUGUCAUUUCACAAAUUCAUGAAAAACUAAUGGGAGGUUAUGUUAAUAGAUAUAAACCUGGCGUCACCAAAGUUUCAUAACUGCUCAAAGCAUUGUCUGAAAACUGGAAUAUUCCCCCUUUUUAUGAUUAAAAUCACAUUUAUCCGUGACCUAAAACGUAUACAAAUUAAAAGUGAACUCCCGUCAAUAAAUAUAAACAAUUUAUUGAAUGAAAAAUGGAAAAAAAUGGGGAGAGUUUAAGAUUGGAAAGUGAAACUUUUUUUCAGUUUAUUUAACUUUCUAAAUUGAGGUACAUUUCUCAUUGGUUCAUCUUUCUCUAAACAUAUAACCUAGGGGAAGAAAAGAAAUACAUCUAUAUUUAGUUAUGAUUUUGCAUACACCUUUUUGAAAGUACACCAAAAUGGAACUAAAACUGUAGGAGAUGUAGGUUAUACGUCAAUAACACAGCAAUCAAACGAAAAAAAA
rnacentral:lncRNA from 1 species